AAAAAUACCUAAAACCUGUAUUGUUUCCAAUUAAAAAAAAGUUAUAAAGUGUCAGUCGGGUUUGCCGGCAUAUGUACAACCUCACCCAAUAUUCGGUUCUGAAGGAAUGGGGUAAUGUGGUCCAUUUCGUAUCGGGCCUAAAUAAAUAUGAUACAAAUAUUGUUAAAAUGUGCGUGAGGUACCAGAUGCAGUAGACCCAAGGAUUGCAAUUCCAUUCGUCGUCUAAAACAGAUAAAAAUAUUGGUACCAUAAAAAUUAUAAGAAAAUCGAAAUCAUAAAUUCCAUAUUGGCAUGUUCCUCAAGUUAUGACAGAAAAAAAUACCGAAAAUUGUGACCCUUUGUGGGUGAGGGAGAACUGGAUGCUUAUUCAAUACCUUGAACCCGAUGUAGGGAACGUACCAGAAGAAAUGGUCAGAUUUUUACCAUCUUUAUAACAGAUCUUGUGUUGUUCAAAAUGUUGAGAAGUCUGAAUGGGAUCGGCUGUAAAUUUGGCAUUUUAUGAGCUUCACGGAUAUUAAGAAUUUGAUUUUUUAGAGGAGGUACCAGAGGGAGAGGAUCGAUAUAUUCCAUCUUCAAGGCAGAUUUCGUGUUAGUAGAAAUAAUUGGAUGUUUGAAAUAUGAAGAGAACCGUAUGCAUAUUUCGGAUUUUAUAAUCGUGUUUGCUAUUCAAAACUUUCACCCUUUGUGGGGGACGCACCAGAAGGAAUUGCUCGAUCUCUACCAUCUUAAUAACAGAUUUUCUGUUGGUAGAAAUAUUGAUAUAUGCCAAGUCUGAAUGGUCUCAGAUAUUAAUUUCACGAUUUAUGAGCUUCAUGGAUAUUCAAAACUUUGACCCUUUGUUGCGGAGGUACCAGAAGAAGUGUAGCGAUAUAUUCCAUUUUCUCGCCAGACCAUUGGUUAACAAAAUGUUGUGUUGCGUGUAAUUUGAAGAUAAUCGGGCUCUUACAUCACAUUUUGUAAGAGUUAUAAUUAUUCAAAAUGUUGACCCUAUGUGGGGAAGGUACUUGAUGCAGUUGACCGAUAUUGUCUAUUUUAGUACCUGACCUAGCA